UACAGAGGGGGCGAGCGUUGUUCGGAAUUACUGGGCGUAAAGGGCGCGUAGGCGGCCCGCUAAGUCGAACGUGAAAUCCCCAGGCUCAACCUGGGAACUGCGUCCGAUACUGGCAGGCUUGAAUCCGGGAGAGGGAUGCGGAAUUCCAGGUGUAGCGGUGAAAUGCGUAGAUAUCUGGAGGAAUACCGGUGGCGAAGGCGGCAUCCUGGACCGGCAUUGACGCUGAGGAGCGAAAGCCAGGGGAGCAAACGGG
rnacentral:rRNA from 1 species